GUGUAAGAAACAGCUCAUGUGGAAAUGACAGAAGGAAAAGUCGUGCAACAUUAGCUCAUGAAAACCAGGAACUCUGGACCCAAGGGGGAAGCCAGCAGUCCACGUGCCUGAGCCGGUCAGGUUUAAAAGGAAAGGCUGGCCAGGGCCCCCCACCGACUUGAAACUGUGCCUUUGGUGGGCAGCAAGGAAAAGAAAACGUGCAACGUUAAGGAGCCGCAUCCUGCACAGGGCACAGCCCCUGGUUCUUAGGGAAAACAGAAGAACGAAAUGCUGCGCUGUGUCAUGAAAAGCAGAGGGCAUGAUGUCCCCUUGCACGCACCUGAGGUAAGUGCUGCAGAUUUGCCGCGGCCGUCAGUGCCCCUCUGAGCAGUCCGCUUUCUACUCAGGGACUGG
rnacentral:lncRNA from 1 species